rnacentral:rRNA from 1 species
GACGAACCGUGCGAACGUUAUUCGGAAUCAUUGGGCUUAAAGCGCGUGUAGGCGGGUUCGUGCGUCUGUCGCUGAAAUCCCCCGGCUCAACCGGGGAAGUGGCGUGGAUACGACGAGUCUGGAGGGGCAUAGGGGGACCUGGAACUUCCGGUGGAGCGGUGAAAUGCGUAGAGAUCGGAAAGAACACCAACGGCGAAAGCACUCUGCUGGGCCGACACUGACACUGAGAGACGAAAGCUAGGGGAGCGAAUGGG